rnacentral:rRNA from 1 species
AAGUCGUAACAAGGUCUCCGUUGGUGAACCAGCGGAGGGAUCAUUACAGAGUUGCAAAACUCCCUAAACCAUUGUGAACGUUACCUUUACCGUUGCUUCGGCGGGCGGACCGGGUCCUGCCCGGCGCCCCUCGGCCCCUCGCGGGGCGCCCGCCGGAGGUAAACCAAACUAUUGCAUUGUAUGGCCUCUCUGAGUCUUCUGUACUGAAUAAGUCAAAACUUUCAACAACGGAUCUCUUGGUUCUGGCAUCGAUGAAGAACGCAGCGAAAUGCGAUAAGUAAUGUGAAUUGCAGAAUUCAGUGAAUCAUCGAAUCUUUGAACGCACAUUGCGCCCGCCAGUAUUCUGGCGGGCAUGCCUGUUCGAGCGUCAUUUCAACCAUCAAGCCCCGGGCUUGUGUUGGGGACCUGCGGCUGCCGCAGGCCCUGAAAACCAGUGGCGGGCUCGCUAGUCACUCCGAGCGUAGUAGUUACAUCUCGCUCAGGGCGUGCUGCGGGUUCCGGCCGUUAAACCCCCCAUUUUACAAGGUUGACCUCGGAUCAGGUAGGAAGACCCGCUGAACUUAA